AAAGAAAGGCUGCAGGGGCACGCUCGCAGGCUUCGCAAACCCAUACACGCUCGUGGCGAGAAGCCAUGAGACUUGCUGCAUGUAUGCGGGCAUCACAAUCCGCACACAAAUAGGCGGAAUCCGCCCGACAGUAAACGGUACAUGUUGCGGAAUGGCAACUGUCACACACCCUUGCCCAAUUGUUGCUACUUCCAUCAAACCCCCCACUCUUCUCUUUUUUCAACAUUGGACUGACUAAUUUUGGUUUCUCUUUUCUUUUCUUUUCUUUCUUGCUCUCUAUUUUGUGUUGUAAAACUUGUAGUUGGAGUAGUGAAGUUGAGCAAGAAUGCUGGAGACUUAUGGGGCACUGUGAAAUGUGAAGGGGCAAAGGACGGAAAAUGACAACUAGGCAACUACCAAGUGGGGAGAGAAUCCACAGGUGACACGUGGAGACAAGUUAAUGGGUAGGAAAAGUUGUUUCAUUAUCUUGUGGUGGCUGAUGAUUCUGGUGGAGUCAAGCAACAGGGAGGUUGAACAAGUGGGUCCUGGGGCCUUUGGCUUUUGGAAUCAAUUGAGGUCUGACUAACAUUGGUGCACUCUGAUGCAUAGUGGUGUAUGCAAGAUUUUGUUCAGAUAGUACUAGCGUAAUGUCACAAUUCUGCUUGUAAGUGAUUUUUGUGUUUGAGACGUGAUGAUUUAAGGAUUAAUUACAUCUUCCAAAUAUGUUUUUUAUCUGACAAUUAAGAAUACAAGCUUAAUAAGCCAAUACACCUUGUUCUAUUUUCAA